GUGGGGAAUCUUGCGCAAUGGGCGAAAGCCUGACGCAGCCAUGCCGCGUGAAUGAUGAAGGUCUUAGGAUUGUAAAAUUCUUUCACCGGGGACGAUAAUGACGGUACCCGGAGAAGAAGCUCCGGCUAACUUCGUGCCAGCAGCCGCGGUAAUACGAAGGGGGCUAGCGUUGCUCGGAAUUACUGGGCGUAAAGGGCGCGUAGGCGGACAGCUUAGUCAGAGGUGAAAGCCCAGGGCUCAACCUUGGGAUUGCCUUUGAUACUGGCUGUCUUGAGUUUGGGAGAGGUGAGUGGAACUCCGAGUGUAGAGGUGAAAUUCGUAGAUAUUCGGAAGAACACCAGUGGCGAAGGCGACUCACUGGCCCAAUACUGACGCUGAGGCGCGAAAGCGUGGGGAGCAAACAGGAUUAGAUACCCGUGUAGUCC
rnacentral:rRNA from 1 species